CUUUCAUUUCGUGAGAGAGAGAGAGAGAGAGAAGGAAAAGGGAAAAAAAAAUAGCUUCAUCUUCAAGCUUGACUCCAUGGCCAAUUUCUUCACAAAUUCAUCAUUCUUCGGAUUUGAUAUUAAAGUGGUUAAUAGGUGAUUCAAAGUGUUGAUAAUAACUGGGGACUUUGAAGGUAAGAUUUCAUGUUCACUAAAAUUAUUAUUUACCCCAUAUAUAUGUAUAUUCAUAUAUGGUAUGCUAUGAUAACAAAACUACGUGUUUUACAAAA